rnacentral:rRNA from 1 species
UGCGGUUACACAAAAAUUAAAAUGAAUUUUUUUAGUAAUUAAUUAAUAAUGGAUAAAAUAUUAAUUUAAAUUUUAAUUUAUUAAGUGAAAUUUUAAUUUGAAUAAAAAUUAUUUUUAUGAAAUUAAUAAAUUUUAAAUAUAGACUAGGAUUAGAUACCCUAUUAUUAAAAAAUUAAAUUUAAUAUACUAAAAUAUUAGGUAAUUAUUGAAACUUAAAUAAUUUGGCGGUAUUUUAGUUCAUUUAGAGGAAUCUGUCUAAUAAUUGAUAGUCCACGAAUAAAUUUACUUAAUUUAUUAUUUUGUAUAUCGUUGUUAAAAAAAUAUUUUUUAAUAAUUAAUAAUAUUUAAAAAUUUUAAAAAUAAAUUAAAUCAGAUCAAGAUGCAGAUUAUAAUUAAGAAUAUGAUGGAUUACAAUAAAGUUAUUUAAGUGAAAAUUAAAUUUAAAUAUUUAAUUGAAAAUGGAUUUAAAUGUAAUUUUUUUUAGUUUAAAAAGAUGAUUAAUAAUUAAAAUAUGUACAUAUUGCCCGUCGCUUUCAUUUAAAAAUUGAAAUAAGUCGUAACAAAGUAGAGGUACUGGAAAGUGUUUCUAGAAAGAA